CUGGAGGGAGCAUCUAGCACAUGUGGAGGAGGCCGGACCCAGGACGUGGAAGGAGCGGGGGCGCUCCCCACUGUUACAGAAGCAAUGGCACAUCUUUCCCCACAUGUCUCACCUGCACAUCUGCAUUACCUUCCUAAACUGCUUUACUGAGGUGUGAUCACAUACCACAAAUCACACCCAUCACUUCCAGGGCAGUGACUUUUAGCAACUUCACACACUGGUGCAACCACUGCCACAGUGCAGUUGUGGAACCCUGCCAGCACCACGAAAAGGGUCCGUGUACCCAUCAGCAGUCGAUCCCCAAGAGGACCUGCACGCCCAGGCACCCUCUCAUCUAAUUUCUGUCUCUGUAGAUUUGCCCUUUGCGGGCAUUUCAUAUCAACGGACUCCUGCAGGAAGUGGCCUUUUGUGUCUGGGUUUUUCACUUAGCACAGUGCUUUGGAGGCUCACCCAUGUGGCAGCAGAAAGCAGAAUUGAAUCACUUUUCAUCCAUCUAUGCUAUUCCACUGAAUGGCUACAGAAUACUCUGUUUACCCCUCUCCAGCUGACAGACUUUUAGGCUGCUCCACUAUUUGGAGAUUACAAACAGCACUGCUGUGAAAGACAUCUAAGGACAAGUGUUUGUGUGGACAUGGGUUUCAUUUCUCAUUUCCCCAUGAUUUCCUUUCUUCUCUUGCACGGUGCACAGGCUACACCCUUCAGUCGGUGUGGAACAGAGGUGGUUGAAGCAGACCUCCUAUCCUGGUCUGGAUCUCAAGAGAUGACAGGUGGUUUCCGUCCUUCAUUAUAUCAAUACGCUGUUUGCCAUAACUGAAGGUGAGUGUUGGUCCAGUACUGCAAUCCUGGGAAAGAUCUCACACAGCCCUUUGCAAAAUGUUUCUCGAUUUGGUUUGCACAUACGGGGUUGAGGGUGUAUGCAUCGCUAUUCAUGACAGAUAUGGGUCUGUAGCUUUCUGGAGAUGGUAAGUCUGGCUUUGGUACUGGGGUUAAUACUGGGCUUAUAGGAUGAAUUAGGAAACGUUCCCUCCUCCCUCCUGUCUAUUCAGGAAGAAUCUGUGAAGGAUGGGUGCUAUUUCUUCUUUAAACAUUUGACAGAUUUCACUGAUGAAACCAGGAGGCCCAGGACUUCCCUUUGUGGGAAGGUCUUUAAAUGAAUGGUUCAGUAUCAUUGCUUGCUACAGGUACAUUCAGAUUUGUUAUUUGGCCACUGCAUUUAAGCCAACUCCCAUCCAGGAUUCUCUGGCCUGUUGGUUCCUAAGGCUCGGUCUCCGGCCUAGAAUUUGACGUGCUGCACAUCUCUGCCCAUCACCGGAUUCUGGCUCCUACUCUGUAACUGGGGAGAGUAUGCUGCUCAGAAGUGACCCCCAG
ensembl:lncRNA